rnacentral:snRNA from 1 species
AUCGUUUCUCAGCAUUUUGGCUAAGAUCAAGUGUAGUAUCUGUUCUUACCAGUUUAAAUGGUAAAUGAGAAGAUUAUGUUUUAUUGUAAUAAAUUACUAGACUUCUC